AAUCAACGAAACGUUACGUUCGUAUGAAUUGUGUGUGAGUUUAUUCCUGCAACGAUACGAAGUUUUUUCGCGAAGUUAGUUAUUCACGAAUUGAGGAUGUUUCGACCAUGACCUUUUUUCCACUAAUGGAAGAGACAUUUUUCAAUAGACAGAAGCGGAUUCAAUGCAAAUUCGGGACGGUGGGGAGAACGUUAGUGUUGGGAUUGGAAUUACAUUCGGUAUUGUCGGAGCCGGUAGAAUUAGCGAUAAUUUCACUGGACAAAGAGGAUGUGACAGGAUGAUUGUUGAUAUUGGCAG